UAUUGGUGAUGGGCUGGUUGGACUAGAUGAUCUUAGAGAUCUUUCCAACCUUAAUGGUUCUAUAGUUAGAUGAUUCACCUCCUUCUGUUUUGGUUACAAAGAUUUUGUAGGCUGAUUUUGAUCCCUGUUAAGAAAAAAAAUAAAGAGGGAAAAAGACAAUAAAACUCCUCUCGCUUUCAAGAUUUUAAAUUUAAGUCUCACUGACAACAUAAUAUUUUCUGAAAGUGUGAAGUUACUUGAGGAGGAAUAUUUUGAAUCUGAAAUCAUUUACAUUGCCUCCAUUUCAAUAUGUUUGCAGCACGGCUGCUGUUUUUGUGACCCUCUUUGAGUUCAACAUAAAUACAUUAUCCUGCAAAGACUUAAAUAAAGGUGUCGGUCUGGCAAUGAGAAUGGCUCCAUCCUGCACAGGAGUGCAGCCACCUUGAGAGCUGCAUGGAGAAACUUCUUUGUGUGAGAGCACAAUGCUGAAAACGUGAGAGAAGUGUAUGAAAAUAUGCCAGUGACUAAUAAGCCCCUAGUGGGAGGCUGCAACAGCUGGAAUUGCAUUUCCAAGCUUGGAAAAAUAGUGACUCCUAUACAGUUUCUGGCUUUACCUCAGACUGGCACUGUUCUAUUCCUCCUCCUCAUCCUCAUGGCACAGUGAAAGGUUACACAUGUCCUGCACAUCACUCUGAAAGUGGUAGCAGCCACAGCCAUAGCCGUCAGCAUCUCUGGCCCUAGCACCAAGCUAGCAAGAUUAGCUCUUUUUCUUCUAGGGACUAAAUGUAUCCAAGAAAUCAAACUUCAGCCUCUGCCAGGCUGUAAAGGAUGGAAGAGGUGGAGGAUUCCAGCAGGUCACACGAUCUGUCACUUCUUCUCUGGUCUGAAAGACAGAGAGAUGAGAAAUGUGUUCCCACUAACUUUCUUGGCAUGGUGAGCUAUUCAGCUAAUAAGCAAGUAAUUAUACAUAGGAAUACACAGUUCAGUGGCAGUGUUUUCUGUCUGCCAUUGCUCUUAGAAAUGAGAGAAGGAAGCGUUCCUUUCCAACUCUGUGCAUCUCCACUUGGCUGCUUGGAGCUGGGAGAGCUGCUCCUCACCCCUGCCUUCCUGUAGGCCAGCCCCAGCUUGCUUACAGUAAUGAGGACAUCUCAAAUGAGCAACAAGUGGAUAAAUGUGGUUGGUACCUCUGUAACUUCCUCCAACUAGAGUUUUCCUGUUAAUUUCUUCUAUGCAGCAUCUCAUGUUAUGUGGUUGUACAGUAACAGUACUUCUAGCUCUGGCUUGCUAGAGAAUUGAGUUAAAAAUAGUCAUGGUCAAUAGAAACAGAGGCUUUUGUCAUGGAUUUUCUAAAAUGGAACAGUCUAUCAAGUUACAGAUGGAAGACGUCUGGAUUUAGAUCCAUAUUCGGAAUUGAUUAGGAUAUUUUGACUGUAACGCGUGCCUUGUUAAAAAUGUAGCCAGAGUGCAUCAUUGGAUAGGAGAAGAAAGGAUAAGUGUGUAUAGAUGUUCACAGAGAUUCGUGCAAGAACAAAACUCACUGGAUCCUUAAGUCAAGAGUACUCCAGCAGUGGUCAACAGCAUUUGAAGACGAAGAGGCAAGAGUAACGUGAAGUUUUCCCGCGAAGGCCAAUUAAACAGAGAGAAGACAGACGGUGACCAGUUUGCCUCCUGCUGUCAUAGCUCAGCCCAUGCUUUCCCAUCUCCCAGUGGUCCUUGCUUUGCAGUGCACUUGGUGCUCUUUCCCUAACACAGCACCCUGCACAGCACCCCACCAGCUCUCUCCUGCUGGCCCUGCUGUGCAUCCCACACCUCCCUUGCAUGGUGUCAGUGCCCCAGCUCUGCAGCUCCCUGGUGCAAACCUGAUCCGCAGCUACACAGUUCCCUGGGUUUCCCAUUUCCCUGCUAGCAUCUCUGCUGCAGUGCUACAGAGUCCCCUGGCUUUCUCCUUCCCAACUCUCACCUCUUCCGAAGCAUUUGCCCAUUGCCUUCACGGUGCCCUGAUGCUUUCCUCUUCCCUUCUGACAGUCUAUUUCUGCUCCCUUUUAGUAAGCUGUAGAAAGGGAAGCACUGCAGCAAAGCACCCAGCUGGGCUGCGCUCACGUCCAUAUGCGUGCUUAGGGAGGGAGAGAGGAAGAAGAGAUCCCACUUGGAGGUAUUCAUGGGUGCGGGGCUGACAAGAAAAUGAGCAGAAAGAAGUGACCGAAAUAUCAGACCAUGAGCUCAAAAGACCAGCAGGAACCACAGAUGGUUGCAUCAUCCCGGAGAAGAAAUAAAUGACUGACUGCACCGGAUUAGAGCAUGAAAACAUUGACAACAAAGAGAAUUAAUGUCCUCGUAACUGGACUUUGGCCUCACGCACUGCUUCAGCCAUCUCCUGCCUGGGGACAUUGUGCUGUGCGUGAUUUGCUCUCCUUGAAAACCACAUCUGUCCCAGAGGCUGCCUACCUCAAUCUAGCAGUGAGAUAUAGGUGAUGUAGGACGUAGAGAGAUUUCAGAGAGACAGGACCCAUUUGACAAGCAGUGGCUUGAGAAGGGACCGGAGACAAUGACUCCCAGCUGGAGAGAUGGGACAAAUGCAUUCUACAGGAAUGGCCUGUGGAGGGGAAAGCCAUCCCUUAUCUGUACUUCUUGACAGGCAGAAUCACUACAGGGCACGGUUUCUUUAUGACAAGUAGAUUGCUUUCAAGUGUGAUGGGAGUGCCGGCUUACUGGUGUCCAUUGGAAACACCAUAAUUCUGAGCGUUAUGAUUUAUUGGGACUCAACAACCUUAUUUAGCAAAUGCAACCAUGUGCUGGGAUUUUGGCAGCAGUUUUUCUCAGAAUAUCCACUGACAGGUGACAGUUCUUUCUCAUUAUUUAUUAUCCACUUAUUUUUUUUGAGGGCAGUGAGGCGCUGGCACAGCUGCCCAUAGAAACUGUGGGUGCCCC